CAGCUCGUGUGUGUGGAGGGCGACCAGAGCGCUUCUGUUGCUGUCCCUUUAGGCAAUCCAGCUGUUCCUGCAGAGCUUCAACGUCCACUGUUCGUAGGUUUUUACAAUAAACUUUUCCGUUUUCUUUAGGUCCAUUAAAAGUAUUAAAAGUACUGACCAUAAACCUGGUAAUUCCGUUGUGAUCAAUCUGCUCCAUUUCUAGUGAAUUCUGUGCAACAAUUGGAAUUAUUCAGUACAAGAAUUGAUAGAAGUUCCGCUCUAAAGCUUUCGAUAUCCAUUACACCUGUAGUUCACUCACGUUUUCUAAUUCAAUGUCGUCGAUCAAUUCAUGUUCUAAUUUGAAGCUCUGGCGAUCUACGAGCAUAAAAUCGGUUAUCUUACAUAAGGGUGCCUCUUCAGUGUUCCCACAUGCGCUUUUCAGAGAUCCCUUGGGGUAUUUGGUUCAAAAGUAUAUAUACAUACCCCAGUUUAUUAAUACGCAGACGAAAUUCACGUGUUAGCGGAUGAUACCUUAAUAGUUUGUUUUGAUCGUCUGUUGAGGUCAAUGAGUCGCAACUUCUACCUACACUUUAGACACCUCAUCAUGACUGCAUGUAAGUUGUAACACAUGUCACGUACGUUGUCUGUGAAUUCUAAGACUCCCUUUCCCUUUGUUCCAUUAACAUUGUGUUGGAAGCUCUAUUGGAUUGUGUAUGGAAGCUGCCAUCGUCCAAGCUCUAUUUGAAAUUAUCUACUCUUUUUUGUAAUUCAUAGAUUGGUUUAAAUUGUCAAUCCUGCAGACAGACCUUGCUUUUCAUUUGUCAAACCUUCAUCAAAUUGUAAGUGGGAUAUCCACUAGUCUAAUAAUAAUAAUAAUAAUAAUAAUCCUUCAGAACAUCCUCUUGAAUCCUACGGAGUAGGAGUAGGAGUCUCCACCGUCAUUACAUAGUUAAUUAUGUGAAUACUAGUGCGUGUGCUGCACACUGCCGGAUGGAGUCAUUUAUGUAAAUUCUGUGAGCCGUUAUCGUUGAAGUAUUACCUUACCUAAUUGCAGUCAUUUCUUGUUGUCAGUCCGUAUAAUUUAUAUCAGAACUAAUGAAUAGUUUGGUUGUUACGUAGCUCUGUUACGUUACCAUACGGCUUAUGCCUGCAGUCUAGUAAUUUUAACUGUCUCGUGACUUGCCUACAGUCUGUUAUAAGUGCUUGUAUACGAGGUCACUAGUGACGGCUAGUGCAAUUUUCAACUACUACCGCUGCAAAUCAUCUUGUUACUGGCCUCGUGUUCAGGGUUACUAGCGCCUUCUGGAGCGCGGUGUCGCCUAUACACGGGGCCAAUAGCGCGAUCAAUAAUGACGGGUAGUAACGAAAGUUUUACUGGCUGCCACUACUGUCUCAGUAAUGCAAACCGCUACAACCAAAUGUGUAUUUCCUUUAGUCUGGUGCUGGUUUACCCUAGUUUACUGAGAGCAGUCCUGGUCAAGCCUAGUCUAAACGUCCUUAACUUCAUGUCCGCAAAUACCUCAUUUAAGUCCCUCUAAUUUGUCCAGUUUUUCUCCUCCAUCGUUAAGUUUGUGAUCGAGGAGUUCCUGUCGUGUAAUUCGAUAAAUUCAUUAUGUUGGAUUGUCCCUGAUUUGAAUGUAAUUUAACCCCCGGAGUUAGACCUUGAUCGGUCCGUGCUUGUUUGCAUGUCCUACAUAUUUUUUGAGUGCAUUCAUCGCCUAAUCCAUGGCUGACCGUCCGUCUUAAGCUUCUUUACCGUAGAUUUCACUAAUGACUGUUCGGUCUCUAAGCUGUUGACGAAACGUACGCUGAUGCAUGUAUUGUUCUGCGUUUCGUACUUCGCGAAAGUUAGCAUAAAACUGACUCUUUGUGGCAGUGUAUUACUAUUAACUUUGUGUAGUUCAUCACGCUCGAUAUUUUGUCAUUAUUAUUUGCGACUGUUAUAUCUCCUCGAUGGUUCUGUCAGGACGUCCCGCGAGCCCAAAGCUUUAGUUAGGAGCCUGGUUACUACAUUCUAAUGCGGUCAUUAUCUCAAUUAUUUUCUUAUUGUCUUAUUCUCAUUUCCUGAAGCUGGAGCUCGUUCUCGUUCUCACAAGUGUUUGCCCAUUCAAGCGAAUAAUAAUAAUUCUGGAAAUAAUUCCCAAGUUGCUUUGCGCCAUACUACUAGUCGGCGUUGCGUGCGUUACUGUUUAAGUUUUCUUGCCUUCUUCCAAAACAAGAUGUUAAAUCCGGGAAUUUGUUUGCCUUGCUGUUAUUCUCUGUUAGUUCGUACUGUUGUACUUAAUUAAUUAAUCUCGCAUUGUUCUAAUUGCGGCGGUUUGCUCGGUGUUGUGACGUCGGUACAAUUUGACUCCUUCAGUUAUCCUCUUCAACUUGUGUCGAUCAGUUUGUUAAUUCCUUGAUGAAUUACAGUACAUACCUAAGCCCGUGUUACGCUUUUUUUCUCAAAAAUUGUUCUCAAAAUAAAUGCAUAUCCAAUUAUGUUUGGGUAAAAUACCACAUAGAUUUUCGUCUUGCGGUGUGACGGAUGCGGUCGACUCGAUUACAAGGAGUAUUUUCGAUUUUUUAUUGCAACUUGAUUGCUUGGUCGCCGUCAUAGCUUUUUUCGAGAAUUAUUGCCAGCUGUGCAAACUGGAAUUUUUUUUUUUUUGUGGGGGAGAGGAUCGGUGCUAUUCAAGGAAGAAUCUGUGCCCCUAGAAUUCAUCGGUGGGUCGCUGGUGCUGUGGCCUACGAUCGUAUUUGUGCGGAAAAAGGUUCGUUGUUUAGGUUUGCUGAAACUUAGGUUACGUUAUGUGGUUCUAUAUUUAGAACGGAUUAUACCUGUUUUUGAUGAGUUUAGUGUUAAGUGUUUCUCUAACAACUAUUAAUGGAGAUAUAUUAUGUUGAGUGUACCAUGUAUUACAAGUAUUUCUAAUCGUGCUCUUGUUUGGCUGUCGUGCGAACUUUCUAAAACCUAAAAUUCUACCAUUUUCUUUUCUCUCGUUAUUUUAAUGCCAUAUUUGAUUGCGUACCCAUCUCCAAGUCGAGUUUUGAAUUUAAUGUCGUCUAAACCAAGUUUGAAGUGAUAUUUUUUUCUGGUCCGGUAUGCUGUUGAUCUUUGGCUCAAAUUUAGUUUAUUUUGUUCACUUAGUUCAUCUCUGAAAUUUUCUUACUGUUCAAUAAAUUUUACGGCAUUGAUAGAGUGUUACGUAAUUUUGUUAUCAUAUCUUCAGUCUUCCCGAGUCCCAAAACUUGUCGUUACACACAAGCAAUUUUUUUUAUUGCAAUUCUGACUUGUAUUGAAGUUCUCGUCUCUAUCUCCCGCCAUCACUCGAUGAUUACUUUCGUAAUGCAUGAACUGAGGCGCUGCUGCGCCCAUGACAAAACAUUGCACGUUACUUUCAAGUAUUUCUUCUUCUUUAGUCUUUUUUUCAUUUUGUGGGAUGUAUGGAUAUUAGACAACCUAUCGUGUGCGUUCUCGUUGCCAUUUGCGUGCCAUCCUAUGUUUUUUUGGUGCUUGUAUUAGUGAAGGAUUUUAGGUUUACGUUAGUUGUUGUAGAAUAUUCAGCGUUCCCGAAAUGGGACACUUUAUGCGUUUAAGUGAGCACACCACCAGCUUGCAUGAAGCGGUCGAAAUUGAUGUUAAAUAUUUACAUUACAACAUGUCUUACCGUAGUCAGGAAUUUAAUACUUGUAUGUAGCCUCCUGUGCUGUGAGAGUUUAUUGGUCACUAAUCACUGACACUCAUCGUGAAUUUCGUUGUAUGCUGCCCAGUUAAUUAUUUUCGUACAAAGGUUUGACUUUUUGCGAAGUAUGUAUAUUUUUGAUCUGUUCCUUCUGAAGUUUUUUCGUGAUGCGCCAUAAAAUUUGUUCUUGAUUUUUUUGUUACAUUUUGUUGAUUUUCUCACUCAAUUGUUUGGAUUUGAAGACUGCUUUGCCGUACGAGAGAAUCUUUUCCGCGUAGUCAUUGAUGUUCUUCGUUUUAAAACUUAAGGCUUGUUCUUGUUUUAAAAAAAAGAGCUGUGAUUAAUGGAUUAUAUUCAAUGUUCUUCCCGUUGAUCGUCGCAUUAGUCGAUGUGUGUUUCAUCUCUAGCAGAGGUGGUCCUCAACAUCGGGCUAACCUCUCGACUCUUUCAUGGUAACUCCGCGAGGUUGAGAUUCUAUUCGGUUUAUUCCUCGACUCAUUUUCCGUAUUGUCAUAAUUGUAGUUAUUGGUGAAACGAGUCCAAUUAUGAACUGUUCUGGUUCUGCUCGUAUUGUGUUAUUUUUCUCUUAUUCCUGUGGGGAAAAAAGUUAACCAGCUUGUUCACACUCGGAACUCUCGUGUUGGAAAUUUCUGGUUAAUUGCUGAAUGAUCAUGGCAGUCUUUUUUAUAAGAUAAUCCACUUAUGAUUUCUCGUCCUCUAAAUUUGUCUCAGCCUCUGUCCUGUCAUUUGAAGAGAUGUUAUUCCACUUGCUUUGUACACGGAAUCAUUGAUGUUUUACUCCGUAGUUUUGCUGGAAAUCCUCCCUACUAAAAUUUCGUGUAGCAUUCCCACGGUGAUUUGCACUAUGUGGAAUUUCAAUAGUAUAUUCUAGUCCAUAGAAGUUACUUUUCUCCCGCCUUGUUAACUGCUGACAAAGCGUUGUGAUCUUGGAUGAGACUAGCGAUUUAUUGUUGUUUCACUUCAUCAAUUCAGUGUUUGCCAGCUCCAAACUUGCUUCUUUAAAUAUUUUGGUGUUUGUGGAAAGACCCGCUAGUGGAAGUGUUUGACGGUUUCCUAAUGCGUGUGUUGCGUGGUUCUAAACUUAUUAUAGUUCGUCGCUAUUUGAGUCCCCAUGUACUUCGUUCGUUGUGUACUGAUCUGCGAGAAGCAGGAUAAUUUCUUUAAAUAGAGAAAGGCAAGACAUUUACGCGCAAAUUGGAUCGUAUUCUCUCACUUUCAUUUUCCAUUGGUUGCGACCCGUUUCGAUUGAAGUCAAUGUUCUCGUCUGAAGAGAGAUAUCCUAUUCGGUCAACUCUUAAUUGAUAAUAAUUUUGCUGGCUCCGUGAUUGAUUUUUUCUUCAAUCUUAUUUCCUGACAACGUUAACGACACUCCUUAUAAUGCUUUGUCGCAUGCCUUGAGUGUAUUGUUGGUGGUUGGCUGCUUGUGCUUCUUGUUAUAGUUAGUGACGAAUAUUAUUUUAGUUAUCAUAAGGAGUUGUAACGGCGGUGUUAUAUUUCUGUAGUAUUUGGGGCAAUGAGUUUGUAUUUUUUGAUUGUUUCUUUAUGUAACUAUAUUUGAUUUCUGUGUGCCAUGUUUUUUGUUCACUUCGGCUUCAGUCGCCUGAAAGCUCAAGAACAUUUUUGCAAGUAAUCAAGUUCCAUUGGUAGGCGAAUAUUGUGUCUCACGAUCCGUAUCACGAUACUUUAAAUGGUGAAUGCAAUUAUUCAUAUUGAAUGUGCGCUUGUUCGGGCCGACUUUUAUGUACUGUCAAUUAAUUGUGGACAUAUUAAGUAUUACCUCAGUUACUGGUUUCAUUUUGGGGGGAAUAUCUUUUAAGUUGCCCUCGUGUUUAUUUGCCCUGAAUUUGUUCGACGUUUGCCACUUGUUUUUUUUUUUUUAGUUUCUGCCAUUUCAGUUACCUGCAAUAAUUACUUUAUGAGAAAUUAGAAUAAUUUUGUAGCCUCUUAUCCGUUUUCUGUUUUGAAUAUCCGUUUUAAUUUGUAUGUAUUGAAGUUCUACAUAAAGUUGAUAAACUUCA